CUCUGCCUCAGGGUUAUAGAACAGCUGCCUUCAGCUAUUCUCCCCCGGGGCUCUGCAGAACCUUCCAACUUCUCAAAAGGUUUGCCCCCUUUCCCUGUAGCUUUUCCCACCACUCCGACCGAUCCCCCACACAACUGGAGGCAGGAGCUCCUGAGGAAGCAUCACCAGGAACCACCCCAAGAGGAGGAUUGAGCGAGUGGGGUCCCUCCAAGGCACUAGCGGAUGGGAUGAUCCCUUCAGGAUGCACUAGUAAGGGCAGACUGUGUGAGCUGCUGUGCUAUCACACCUCCCAGUCUGGAGAGGAGAUGACGUCUCUGUCAGAGUAUGUUUCUCGCAUGAAGGAGACACAGAAGUCCAUCUAUUACAUCAUUGAUGAGAGCAAAGAGCAGGUGGCCAACCCAGCUUUUGUGGAGCGAGUGCGGCUUCGAGGUGGUAUAUAUGACUGAGCCCACUGACGAAUACUGUGUGCAGCAGCUAAAGGAGUUUGAUGGGAAGAGCCUGGUCUCAGUUACCAAGGAGGGUCUGCAGCUACUGGAGGAUGAGGAGGAGAAGAAAAUGGAAGAGAGCAAGGCAAAGUUUGAGAACCUCUGCAAGCUCAUGAAAGAAAUCUUAGUUAAGAAGGUUGAGAAGUUGACAAUCUCCAAUAGGCUGGUGUCUUCACCCUGCUGCAUUGUGACCAGCACCUACGGCUGGACAGCCAAUAUGGAGUGGAUCAUGAAAGCCCAGGUACUUUGGGACGACUCCACCAUGGGCUACAUGAUGGCCAAAAAAGCACCUGGAGAUCAACCCUGACCACCCUAUUGUGGAGACACUGUGGCAGAAGGCUGAGGCAGACUAGAAUGACAAGGGAGUCAAGGACCUUGUGGUGCUGCUGUUUGAAAACUCCCUGCUCUCUUCUGGCUUUUCCCUUGAGGAUCCCCAGACCCACUCCAACUGCAUCUACUGUAUAAUCAAGCUAGGUCUAGGUAUCGAUGAAGAUGAAGUGGCAGCAGAGGAACCCAGUGCUGCAGUUCCUGAUGAGAUCCCCCCUCUUGAGGGUGAUGAUGAUGUGUCUCGCAUGGAAGAAGUAGAUUAGGAGUUCAUAGUUGGAAAACUGCCCUUGUAUAGUGUCCCCAUGGCUCCCACUGCAGCCUUGAGUGCCCCUGUCCCACCUGGCUCCUCCUGCUGAUAUCUCGUGUUUUUUUCUCUUCUGUCCUUCUGUUGAAGGCAGGAAACAAGGGUGUCAAGCCCCCAUUCUUUCCCUACUCAGACAGCA